UUUUAGCCCCGAUAGAAACGGUUACCCCGGAGCAAGCGAAGGCAAAAGCAAGGGAGCGAGGAGUAUGAGUGGAUAGCGGGAAAUAGC
rnacentral:misc_RNA from 1 species